UUUCUUUGCUGGCGACCGGCGCACGGGUGAGUAACACGUAUCUAACCUGCCUUUACUCGGGGAUAGCCUUUCGAAAGAAAGAUUAAUACCCGAUAGCAUAAUGAUUCCGCAUGGUUUCAUUAUUAAAGGAUUCCGGUAAAGGAUGGGGAUGCGUUCCAUUAGGUUGUUGGUGAGGUAACGGCUCACCAAGCCUUCGAUGGAUAGGGGUUCUGAGAGGAAGGUCCCCCACAUUGGAACUGAGACACGGUCCAA
rnacentral:rRNA from 1 species